rnacentral:rRNA from 1 species
UACGUAGGGCGCAAGCGUUGUCCGGAAUUAUUGGGCGUAAAGAGCGUGUAGGCGGCCAGGUAGGUCCGUUGUGAAAACUCGAGGCUCAACCUCGAGACGCCGAUGGAAACCAUCUGGCUAGAGUCCGGAAGAGGAGAGUGGAAUUCCUGGUGUAGCGGUGAAAUGCGCAGAUAUCAGGAAGAACACCCGUGGCUAAGGCGGCUCUCUAGUACGGUACUGACGCUGAGACGCGAAAGCGUGGGGAGCGAACAGG